GACGAACGCUGGCGGCGUGCUUAACACAUGCAAGUCGAACGGAAAGGCCCUGCUUUUGUGGGGUGCUCGAGUGGCGAACGGGUGAGUAACACGUGAGUAACCUGCCCUUGACUUUGGGAUAACUUCAGGAAACUGGGGCUAAUACCGGAUAGGAGCUCCUGCUGCAUGGUGGGGGUUGGAAAGUUUCGGCGGUUGGGGAUGGACUCGCGGCUUAUCAGCUUGUUGGUGGGGUAGUGGCUUACCAAGGCUUUGACGGGUAGCCGGCCUGAGAGGGCGACCGGCCACAUUGGGACUGGGAUACGGCCCAGACUCCUACGGGAGGCAGCAGUGGGGAAUAUUGCACAAUGGGCGGAAGCCUGAUGCAGCAACGCCGCGUGCGGGAUGACGGCCUUCGGGUUGUAAACCGCUUUCGCCUGUGACGAAGCGUGAGUGACGGUAAUGGGUAAAGAAGCACCGGCUAACUACGUGCCAGCAGCCGCGGUGAUACGUAGGGUGCGAGCGUUGUCCGGAUUUAUUGGGCGUAAAGGGCUCGUAGGUGGUUGAUCGCGUCGGAAGUGUAAUCUUGGGGCUUAACCCUGAGCGUGCUUUCGAUACGGGUUGACUUGAGGAAGGUAGGGGAGAAUGGAAUUCCUGGUGGAGCGGUGGAAUGCGCAGAUAUCAGGAGGAACACCAGUGGCGAAGGCGGUUCUCUGGGCCUUUCCUGACGCUGAGGAGCGAAAGCGUGGGGAGCGAACAGGCUUAGAUACCCUGGUAGUCCACGCUGUAAACGGUGGGUACUAGGUGUGGGGUCCAUUCCACGGGUUCCGUGCCGUAGCUAACGCUUUAAGUACCCCGCCUGGGGAGUACGGCCGCAAGGCUAAAACUCAAAGGAAUUGACGGGGCCCCGCACAAGCGGCGGAGCAUGCGGAUUAAUUCGAUGCAACGCGUAGAACCUUACCUGGGUUUGACAUGGAUCGGGAGCGCUCAGAGAUGGGUGUGCCUCUUUUGGGGUCGGUUCACAGGUGGUGCAUGGCUGUCGUCAGCUCGUGUCGUGAGAUGUUGGGUUAAGUCCCGCAACGAGCGCAACCCUUGUUCACUGUUGCCAGCACGUUAUGGUGGGGACUCAGUGGAGACCGCCGGGGUCAACUCGGAGGAAGGUGGGGAUGACGUCAAGUCAUCAUGCCCCUUAUGUCCAGGGCUUCACGCAUGCUACAAUGGCUGGUACAGAGAGUGGCGAGCCUGUGAGGGUGAGCGAAUCUCGGAAAGCCGGUCUCAGUUCGGAUUGGGGUCUGCAACUCGACCUCAUGAAGUCGGAGUCGCUAGUAAUCGCAGAUCAGCAACGCUGCGGUGAAUACGUUCCCGGG
rnacentral:rRNA from 1 species